rnacentral:rRNA from 1 species
UACGUAGGGUGCGAGCGUUGUCCGGAUUUAUUGGGCGUAAAGGGCUCGUAGGCGGCCUGUCGCGUCGGGAGUGAAAGCCCACUGCUUAACGGUGGGUCUGCUUCCGGUACGGGCGGGCUGGAGUAUGGCAGGGGAGACUGGAAUUCCUGGUGUAGCGGUGGAAUGCGCAGAUAUCAGGAGGAACACCGGUGGCGAAGGCGGUUCUCUGGGCCUGUACUGACGCUGAGGAGCGAAAGCGUGGGGAGCGAACAGG